AACAAACGCUGGCGGCGUGUCUUAAGCAUGCAAGUUGAGCGGCAAGGAGGAGAGAUCCUCCCUAGAGCAGCGGACUGGUGAGUAACGCGUGGGUAAUCUAUCUUAGGCAUGGGGAUAGUCACUAGAAAUAGUGGGUAAUACCGAAUAAGUUCCAUAAGGGGAGGACUUAUGGAAGAAAGGUGCUACGGCACUGGCCUUAGGUGAGCUCGCGUCCCAUUAGCUAGUUGGUGAGGUAAAGGCCCACCAAGGCGAUGAUGGGUAGCCGGCCUGAGAGGGUGUACGGCCACACUGGGACUGAGAUACGGCCCAGACUCCUACGGGAGGCAGCAGCUAAGAAUAUUCCGCAAUGGACGAAAGUCUGACGGAGCGACGCCGCGUGGAUGAAGAAGGCCGAAAGGUUGUAAAGUUCUUUUGCUAGGGGAGAAUAAGUGAGGGAGGGAAUGCCCUAUGAUGACAAGGACUAGCGAAUAAGCCCCGGCAACUACGUGCCAGCAGCCG
rnacentral:rRNA from 1 species